AAGAAAUGGGGGCUCCUUUGAGGACAAAGAAGGCCUUUCGGAUCGUCUUUUCGCUCAUUGAAGCAGUCGUCCUUUGGACUGAAGGGGGUCCUUAGUUCUU
rnacentral:pre_miRNA from 1 species